rnacentral:rRNA from 1 species
GAGUUUGAUCGUGGCUCAGGACGAACGCUGGCGGCGUGCCUAAUACAUGCAAGUUGAACGAUGAUUUCUGGUACUUGUAUCAGAAUGAAGAGUAGCGAACGGGUGAGUAACGCGUGGGUAACCUACCUCUUAGCGGGGGACAACUAUUGGAAACGAUAGCUAAUACCGCAUAACAAUGCUUAACACAUGUUAAGCAUUUGAAAGUACCAAUUGGUACACUAGGAGAUGGACCCGCGUUGUAUUAGCUAGUUGGUAGUGUAAUGGACUACCAAGGCGAUGAUACAUAGCCGACCUGAGAGGGUGAUCGGCCACAUUGGGACUGAGACACGGCCCAAACUCCUACGGGAGGCAGCAGUAGGGAAUCUUCGGCAAUGGACGAAAGUCUGACCGAGCAACGCCGCGUGAGUGAAGAAGGUUUUCGGAUCGUAAAACUCUGUUGUUAGAGAAGAACGUUGUGUAGAGUGGAAAAUUACACAAGUGACGGUAUCUAACCAGAAAGGGAC